AAACAUGUCAGUGAGCAUCACCGCUGUGAAGGUGCUGCAUGGUUGUCGUCAGCUCGUGCCGUGAGGUGUCGGCUUAAGUGCCAUAACGAGCGCAACCCUUAUCUUCAGUUACUAACAGGUCAUGCUGAGGACUCUGGAGAGACUGCCGUCGUAAGAUGUGAGGAAGGUGGGGAUGACGUCAAAUCAGCACGGCCCUUACGUCCGGGGCUACACACGUGUUACAAUGGGGGGUACAGAAGGCAGCUACCUGGUGACAGGAUGCUAAUCCCAAAAGCCUCUCUCAGUUCGGAUCGAAGUCUGCAACCCGACUUCGUGAAGCUGGAUUCGCUAGUAAUCGCGCAUCAGCCACGGCGCGGUGAAUACGUUCCCGGGUCUUGUACA
rnacentral:rRNA from 1 species